AUGAGCAGCUUCCGCAGCAACUCCGGCUCGGAGCUAGACUACGAGGAGGAGAUGGCCCUCCGCAUUGCGCUGGAGCGGUCCAAGGUGGAAACCGGCGGCGCAGGCGAACGCCGGAGCUGGACCCUCCCGGCCCACGCGCAUCAACGCAAGGACAACACCGUCCGCACCGUCUCCUUUCCCCGCCGGCCACUCCUCCACGCGGCUAGCGCUGGGUGCUUGUGCCCGCGCCUCCUACCGGCAGGCGCACUCCGGAGUCGGAGGCGCGUGCCGCGCGACGCGAGAGGCAGCGUGCAAGGGAGACGAACGCGACAGAGCAGUCUGCGCGCCGCCGCCGCGGGACGGAGCCGGACGCCAACGAGGACGUGCGUCUCGUCGCAUGAGUGUACCGCCACUCCCUCACGACAGCGGAGACGGACGCUCGCCGCCUCUGACGGAAGAACACCAAGGUGCUCCGGCUUGCUAUUGAGUAGUCGGAGCGCGAGGCAGCGACGGAGAAGGCUCGGGUGGCAAGGAGCGGAAGCAGGACAGGGCGGUCCAUCGGAUGAAGGGGCUCAUCAUCCUCUCCGACCCUGA
rnacentral:rRNA from 1 species